AGCGAACGCUGGCGGCAGGCCUAACACAUGCAAGUCGAACGAACUCUUCGGAGUUAGUGGCGGACGGGUGAGUAACACGUGGGAACGUGCCUUUAGGUUCGGAAUAACUCAGGGAAACUUGUGCUAAUACCGAAUGUGCCCUUCGGGGGAAAGAUUUAUCGCCUUUAGAGCGGCCCGCGUCUGAUUAGCUAGUUGGUGAGGUAAAGGCUCACCAAGGCGACGAUCAGUAGCUGGUCUGAGAGGAUGAUCAGCCACAUUGGGACUGAGACACGGCCCAAACUCCUACGGGAGGCAGCAGUGGGGAAUCUUGCGCAAUGGGCGAAAGCCUGACGCAGCCAUGCCGCGUGAAUGAUGAAGGUCUUAGGAUUGUAAUAUUCUUUCACCGGGGACGAUAAUGACGGUACCCGGAGAAGAAGCCCCGGCUGACUUCGUGCCAGCCGCCGCGGUAA
rnacentral:rRNA from 1 species